rnacentral:lncRNA from 1 species
GGAUCGAGGCCAUCAAGCUACAGAUGGUCUUACAAAUGGAACCCCAAAUGAGCUCAACUAACAACUUCUACUAAGGACCCCUGGGCCAACCCACUGGCCCUUUGACUGGCCUAAAGAGUUCCCCUCUGAAGGACACUACAAUUGCAGGGACCCUUCUUUGCCCCUAUCCAGCAGGAAGUAGCUAGAGCGGUCAUUGUCCAAUUCCCAACUGCAGUUGGGGUGUCCUGUUUAGAGGGGGGAUUGAGAGGUGAAGCCAGCUGGACUUCCUGGGUCGAGUGGGGACUUGGAGAACAUUUCUGUCUAGCUAAAGGAUUGUAAAUGCACCAAUGAGCACUCUGUAAAAAUGCACCAAUCAGCGCUCUGUGUCUAGCUGAAAGAUUGUAAAUGCACCAAUCAGCACUCUGUAAAAACAUACCAAUCAGCGCUCUGUGUCUAGCUAAAGGAUUGUAAACGCACUGAUCAGCACUCUGUAAAAUGGACCAAUCAGCGUUCUGUAAAAUGGACCAAUCAGCAGGACAUGGGUGGGGCCAAACAAGGGAAUAAAAGCUGGUCACCCCAGCCAGCAGUGGCAAGCCACUCGGGUCCCCUUCCACACUGUGGAAGCUUUGUUCUUUUGCUCUUCACAAUAAAUCUUGCUGUUGCUCACUUUUUGGGUCUGCACUACCUUUAUGAGCUGUAACACUCACCACAAGGGUCUGCAGCUUCAUUCCUUGAAGUCAGUGAGUCCACAAAUCCACCAGGAUGAACAAACAACUCCGGAUGCACCACCUUUAAGAGCUGUAACACUCACUGCGAAAGUCUGCGGCUUCACUCCUGAAGUCAGCGAGACCAUGAUCCCACUGGAAGGAAGAAACUCCAGGCACAUCUGAACAUCUGAAGGAACAAACUCCAGACACACCAUCUUUAAGAGCUGUAACACUCACCACGAAGGUCUGCAGCUUCAUUCUUGAAGUCAGCGACAUAAGAACCCACUGGAAGGAAUAAAUUCCGGACACAUCAGCACUAUUCAGAGAGGCUGGAAGGUAGUGGUGCAAUCACAGCUUACUGCAGCCUUUACCUCCUGGCUGAAGUGAUCCUUCCACCUCAGCCUCCUGAGUAGCUGAGACUACAGGUCCAUGGCAGCUGACCUCAGGCUGGUGUCCAUUGG